AAUUUGGGACAAUGGGGGCAACCCUGAUCCAGCCAUCCCGCGUGUAUGAUGAAGGNCUNNGGGUUNUNAAGUACUUUUGGCCGNNNNNAAAAGGUAUACCCUAAUACGGGAUACUGCUUACGGUCGCUGCAGCAUAAGUACCGGCUAUCUACGUUCCAGCAGCCGCGGUAAUACGUAGGGUGCAAGCGUGAAUCGGCAUUACUGGGCGUAAAGCGUGUGUAGGCGGUUCGGAAAGAAAGAUGUGAAAGCCCAGGGCUCAACCUUGGAACUGCAUUUUUAACUGUCGAGCUAGAGUAUGUCAGAGGGGGUAGAAUACCACGUGUAGCAGUGAAAUGCGUAGAUAUGUGGAGGAAUACCGAUGGCGAAGGCAGCCCCCUGGGAUAAUACUGACGCUCAGACACGAAAGCGUGGGGAGCAAACAGG
rnacentral:rRNA from 1 species